rnacentral:rRNA from 1 species
GACGAACGCUGGCGGCGUGCUUAACACAUGCAAGUCGAACGGAAAGGCCCUGCUUUUGUGGGGUGCUCGGGUGGCGAACGGGUGAGUAACACGUGAGUAACCUGCCCUUGACUUUGGGAUAACUUCAGGACACUGGGGCUAAUACCGGAUAGGAGCUCCUGCUGCAUGGUGGGGGUUGGAAAGUUUCGGCGGUUGGGGCUGGACUCGCGGGUUAUCAGCUUGUUGGUGGGGUAGUGGCUUACCAAGGCUUUGACGGGUAGCCGGCCUGAGGGGGUGACCGGCCACAUUGGGACUGAGAUACGGCCCAGACUCCUACGGGAGGCAGCAGUGGGGAAUAUUGCACAACGGGCGCAAGCCUGAUGCAGCAACGCCGCGUGCGUGAUGACGGCCUUCGGGUUGUAAACCGCUUUCGCCUGUGACGAAGCGUGAGUGACGGUAAUGGGUAAAGAAGCACCGGCUAACUACGUG